GUUUUUCUUUUUUAGUUGAAGUAUUAAGAAUUAAUCGUGUUUCUCUUGGUUUUAAAAUAUUAUAUUGUUCUUUUAAAUUGUUUAUAAAUCUUAAUAUUAUAAUCUAUAUUGUGUUUUUUUAUUUUGUAUGAUAUACCAUACUAUUGUCCAACUGUGAAGAAGUAGGUAGGUAGCCAAUUUUAAUAGUGCAGAUCUUCGAAGACCAGAAUGUGUAGAUGUGAAUUGGAAAGUGGCAACAUAUACCUAAUUCAGACUUCAGAGAUUCAGUUAGACAUGAUUUAUGGAAAUUGGAUUCAUUAAUUUUUGGACAUUCAAAAAUAUACCAUACUACUAUAGUACUAUUGUCUGAUUGUGAAGAAGCAGGUAGUCAAUUUUAAUAGUGCAGAUCUUCGAAGACCAGAAUGUGUAGAUGUGAAUUGGAAAGUGGCAACAUAUACCUAAUUCAGACUUCAGAGAUUUAGUUAGACAUGAUUUAUAGAAAUUGGAUUCAUUAAUUUUUGGACAUUCAAAACUAUACCAUACUACUAUAGUACUAUUGUCUGAUUGUGAAGAAGCAGGUAGUCCAUUUUAAUAGUGCAGAUCUUCGAAGACCAGGAUGUGUAUAUGUGAAUUGGGAAAGUGGCAACAUAUACCUAGUUCAGACUUCAGAAAUUUAGUUAGACAUGAGUUAUGGAA